UACGUAGGGUGCAAGCGUUGUCCGGAAUUAUUGGGCGUAAAGAGCUCGUAGGCGGUCUGUCGCGUCAGCUGUGAAAACCCGGAGCUCAACUCCGGGCCUGCAGUCGAUACGGGCAGACUGGAGUUCGGCAGGGGAGACUGGAAUUCCUGGUGUAGCGGUGAAAUGCGCAGAUAUCAGGAGGAACACCGGUGGCGAAGGCGGGUCUCUGGGCCGAUACUGACGCUGAGGAGCGAAAGCGUGGGGAGCGAACAGG
rnacentral:rRNA from 1 species